rnacentral:rRNA from 1 species
UGUUUUCUUUUUCAUUGAGGUGCGGUCGCGGCCCUCGGCGGGAGCAACAGCUGCCGUCGGGCGGUAGAGGUAACACUUUCACGCGCCGCAUGUCUGAAUCCUUUUUUUACGAGCACCUUUCGUUCUCCUUCGGCGGGGCAACCUGCCGUUGGAACCUAUCAAAACCUUUUUUUGCAUCUAGCAUUACCUGUUCUGAUACAAACAAUCGUUACAACUUUCAACAAUGGAUCUCUUGGCUCUGGCAUCGAUGAAGAACGCAGCGAAAUGCGAUAAGUAGUGUGAAUUGCAGAAUUCAGUGAAUCAUCGAAUCUUUGAACGCACAUUGCGCCCCUUCCUAUUCCAGUGGGCAUGCCUGUUCGAGCGUCAUCUACACCCUCAAGCUCUGCUUGGUGUUGGGCGUCUGUCCCGCCUCUGCGCGCGGACUCGCCCCAAAUGCAUUGGCAGCGGUCCUUGCCUCCUCUCGCGCAGCACAUUGCGCUUCUCGAGGUGCGCGGGCCGCGUCCACGAAGCAACAUUACCGUCUUUGACCUCGGAUCAGGUAGGGAUACCCGCUGAACUUAAGCAUAUCAAUAGGCCGGAGGAAUCAUAUUCUAUUCAUGAGGUGCGGUCGCGGCCCUGGCGGAGCAACGCUGCGUGGGCGGUAGAGGUAACACUUUCGGCGCAUGUCUGAAUCUUUUUUUACGAGCACUUUGUUCUCUUCGGCGGGGCAACUGCGUUGGAACUAUCAAACUUUUUUUUGCAUCUGCAUUACUGUUCGAUAAAACAAUCUUCACUUUCACAAGGGAUCUCUUGGCUCGGCAUGAUGAAGAAGCGGAAAAGCAUAAGUGUGUGAAUUGCAGAAAUUCGUGAAUCAUCAAUCUUUUGAACGCAUCUCGGGUUAUUCAUGGGGCAUGCUAUUCAGCGCUUACUCAACCUGCUUGGGUGUGGGGGUGUCCCUCUGCGCGAAUCCCCAAUACAUUGGGAGGAUUCCUUG